GAUCAUGGCUCAGAACGAACGCUGGCGGCGUGCCUAACACAUGCAAGUCGAGCGCGAAAGUCCCUCGGGGGCUAGUAGAGCGGCGGACGGGUGAGUAAUACGUGGGUAAUUGCCCUCGAGCCCGGGAUAACACCACGAAAGUGGUGCUAAUACCGGAUAAGACCACAUAACAUAAGUUGUGGGGUAGAAGGUGGCUUGAAUUUAUUCUGGCUAUCACUUGAGGAUGAGCCCAUGGCCUAUCAGCUUGUUGGUGAGGUAAAAGCUCACCAAGGCUAUGACGGGUAGCUGGUCUAAGAGGACGACCAGCCACACUGGGACUGAGACACGGCCCAGACUCCUACGGGAGGCAGCAGUGGGGAAUAUUGGGCAAUGGGCGAAAGCCUGACCCAGCGACGCCGCGUGGGUGAUGAAGGCCUUCGGGUUGUAAAGCCCUUUCGUGUGGAAAGAACAGCCUCACGACUAAUACUCGUGAGGUUUGACGGUACCACAGGAAGAAGCACCGGCUAACUCCGUGCCAGCAGCGGC
rnacentral:rRNA from 1 species